CUCUUGCACUCUAUUGUUUUCCAGAGAUGCUGCUCUGCCAGGUCAAAUGUCAUCAGGCUGUACAAAACACUGGCUGUGUGUGGUCACAGCAGGGCUGCCUGUUCUCUGGGUGAGGAGUUUCCAGAAAGAGAGUAUUAUGGACAAUAUUGUACUUCUUCAGUGAAGAAAUUCUCCUGAAUUGGGGCAGAGGUUUUUAUUCCCUGAGCGGCCAUGGACACAGAGGGCAAGGAGAGGCAAGAGGAGGUGCUACCUGGAGAACAUAAUGGAGAAGAGCAGAGUGAACAUUAGGCCACGUUUCUCAUCCCUGCUCUGUUGCUUACUUGCACCCUGGUGGGCACACAGAUCUGGGCCUUGCUCUCUCCAUCUCCAAUAAGUGAAUGA
rnacentral:lncRNA from 1 species